rnacentral:tRNA from 1 species
GGGGAUAUAGCUCAGUGAUAGAGUGUUGCCUAGCAUGCAUAAGCCCCUGGGUUCAAUCCUCAGUAAUAUUC